rnacentral:rRNA from 1 species
UGGGAAUUNNNGUNANNAAAACCNCNNCCCCCCCCCCCCCCCCCUNCGUNGUGAAGGCAAUCGGGUNGUAUAAAAAAAAAANNUUUNNNNNAAAAAAAAAAANGGGGNUUUUUAACCCCCUUUUUUGGGGGGGGGCUCCCAAGAAAAAAACCCCCGGAAAAUUGGGGCCACCCCGCCGGGGUAAAUAUUUGGGGGGGGAGCGUUAAUCGGAAUUACUGGGCGUAAAGCGGGCGCAGACGGUUACUUAAGCAGGAUGUGAAAUCCCCGGGCUCAACCUGGGAACUGCGUUCUGAACUGGGUGACUAGAGUGUGUCAGAGGGAGGUAGAAUUCCACGUGUAGCAGUGAAAUGCGUAGAGAUGUGGAGGAAUACCGAUGGCGAAGGCAGCCUCCUGGGAUAACACUGACGUUCAUGCCAGAAAGCGUGGGUAGCAAACAGGAUUAGAUACCCUGGUAGUCCACGCCCUAAACGAUGUCGAUUAGCUGUUGGGCAGCAUGACUGCUUAGUAGCGAAGCUAACGCGUGAAAUCGACCGCCUGGGGAGUACGGUCGCAAGAUUA